AGGAUGAAGGCUUUCUGAGUCGUAAACUCCUUUCAGCAGGGACGAUUGUGACGGUACCUGCAGAAGAAGCACCGGCCAACUACGUGC
rnacentral:rRNA from 1 species